rnacentral:rRNA from 1 species
UACGAAGGGUGCAAACGUUGCUCGGAAUUAUUGGGCGUAAAGCGCACGUAGGCGGCUUAGCAAGUUGGAUGUGAAAGCCCUCGGCUUAACCAAGGAAGUGCAUCCAAAACUGCUGAGCUUGAGUAGUUAAGAGGAUCGCGGAAUUCCCGGUGUAGAGGUGAAAUUCGUAGAUAUCGAGAGGAACACCGGUGGCGAAGGCGGCAUCCUGGACCGACAUUGACGCUGAACGGCGAAAGCUAGGGGAGCAAACGGG